rnacentral:snRNA from 1 species
AAAAUUUGGAACCAUACAAAGAAGGUUAGCAUGGCCCCUGCGCAAGGAUGGCACGCAAAUUCAUGAAAGCGGUCCAUAAAAAA